rnacentral:lncRNA from 1 species
GACGUGGAAGAGUUUUUCGAGAGAGGAGCUGAAGAAAGGCAAGAGGACAACCAACGCAGCGCUCUUGCUGCCCUUUGUCUCACGAUGGGGAGGGUGACAGGAACAUGCAGAACUCGGCCUCUCAAGCUGAAUGGUCUCCAUUCAAGCCAAAAAGUCUGCUGCCACGUCUCUCCCAAACUCAUUGGAGCAAAGCACGGAACAAGAAUGAGGAAAGAUUGCGUGUGGGCAAAGGAUCCUAUCCGCUCAAGAGCUAUCACCCGCAACAGACAAGGCCCACCCUGUCCUUUGUGUGGCACAGUAUUGUUCCGCUGCCUUGGAAAACAUUAGAAGAUGACACAGACUAAACCAUGUCACAUGAGCCCAAUACCCCCCAGGUAAAAGCCAGGAAUCUUGUGGGUUGUAGCAGAGGAGCAGUACAACACAGUGCUGAUUGUAAGAGUUAACAAGUAUGGUAUCAGCAUUCUGGGAACAUCACAGGAAUGUGUUGAAGGAUCAGCAAUUGCUCUUAUUUGUUGAGGCAAAGCUUUAAAGUCUUCUUAACCAACCAGCUUGUAGAAAAGGGAAGUUUAGGCACUAUACACGUGAAAAUAGUGAAUGUUAAUGAAGAAUUGCUUCCUGGGGCAUUGGAACUGUAAACAUGUAAACUUUGUUUUUGGAGUGACAGGUCCAAUACAGCAAACGCAGAGCUUGAGACCAGGUUGCUCCACCGUCCCCGAUUCUUCGGUUCGCUCCUUGAUUCUUUGACCCACGCCAGCCCCAGACCAUGAUUCUUGCCUUGACCUUUGGACAAUGAAUAAAAGAUCCCGGACUUGGGUCCUACCUCCUGUC